rnacentral:lncRNA from 1 species
GCAAUUCGCGCCCUGCCGCCGGGGGUCGCCAGAGCGCUACGGCACCAUGCAUGCCUGCCCGGGAGCGUCCGCAGCCCCGCGCCGGACGGCCGCACUGCCAGCCCAGGCCCAGUGAGCUCCGCACGAGGCCCCGGAAGAUCGUGUUUGCGGAUGAGCUGCAACCCCGGGCCCCACUGCACCCAGAGAAGCAUCCCAGGGAUCUGGGACCCCGCCCCAACCCAGUGCCUGACUACGAGCUGAUCCUGGUUUCCUGGAUAAGCAAGCUCGCUGUGACUACCUGAAGGGUAAACUGAGGCACCUCAAGGCCCAGAUCCGCAAAUUUGAUGACCAAAGGGACAGCAACAGUGAGAACUCCGUGUACUUCUGAGUGUCUUAGACAUGGUGGUCGGCUCCUCUUCCCACGGGGAACCACACCAGUUCUUCCCGGGAAAGCAAGUCCUGUUGAGAAUCCCAGAGAAUAAACAUGGAAUAGAC